rnacentral:rRNA from 1 species
UACAGAGGUGGCAAGCGUUGUUCGGAAUUACUGGGCGUAAAGGGCGCGUAGGCGGCCCUCUAAGUCAGACGUGAAAUCCCCCGGCUUAACCUGGGAACUGCGUCUGAUACUGGAGGGCUUGAGUAUGGGAGAGGGAUGUAGAAUUCCAGGUGUAGCGGUGAAAUGCGUAGAUAUCUGGAGGAAUACCGGUGGCGAAGGCGGCAUCCCGGACCAUUACUGACGCUGAGGCGCGAAAGCCAGGGGAGCAAACGGG